rnacentral:lncRNA from 1 species
AUUCGCAUCGCCUAAGAAAUAGGGGAAUUCAGAUGUUUAAUAACGGAAGAGGAUCGAUUAGCGUGUAUCACUCCUAAUUUAACUCAACAAAAUUAAUUCUACAUAAAUUUUGCUAUUACUAUGUUAUUUACAUGUAUUCACGCGACAGUGAUUAUAAAUACAGUGAAGUAAUCAAGAAAUAUGGUGUAUAUUAUUCUAUUUAUUUCGACUUUUUACAUUGUAUUCAAUUCAAGAUAUUCA